GAUAUGGUCAAAAAGUUGUUCUCUGAUUUCAUCAGUUACAAAAUAACACAUUGAGGAGAACAUAGAGAUUUCAACAUUUCUGAAGGGGGUUACAGAGAGGUAGAAUUAAGAUUCUUCCUUGCUGAUGGCUGAGCAGCAGAGCUGGAGCAGACCUCCUGUCAGAAAACAUAUCUAAAGAGCUAUACACCAUAUGACUAUUUCUCCCUCCGAGGGAUGCACAACCUAAAGUAACUAGAGAUUAUGGUAGCUCCAGUUUGGAUCCAGGAUCACUUGUGAAGACUUCCGAUUACACCAACACUCAUGACCACUUCAGAUAAUGGCAAAUAUAGAUGGACAUAUAAAACUACCAAAUAUGAAAUAUUGUAAUCACUGCGUAAGUUUGCAGAUUUUCAGGCCACUAUUUUUACAAUAUUGGCAAUAUAUGUGAACAGACAAUGUUUACUCUUUUCAGAGUUAGUCGUAUUGAUAUAUGCCCAUUUAUUUGUCCGCAAAACUCUGCUGGAUAAAGUGUUUUACGUCAUUCACAUAUUGUUAAUUUGCAUAUAUUAUAGACAUUGUACCAGUACAAAGUGGUUUAAAAAUCUGCAAACUUACCCUAUAAUAUGUUAUUUUUAAUAGAAUAUGACUUUGAAUACAUGACUUGUAGAGCUAUUGUGAUAUGAACUUUAUGUUGACAGAUGUUUCUCAGUGUGUCAUAGCCCCCUCUGGCUGAUUAACUUCUGAUUGAUUGUAACAUUUUCUAGAAAGCUUCUUCGAAAUUGAAUACAUUUUAAAAAUGGCUAAACCCUUAAGACA